rnacentral:miRNA from 1 species
AUAUAUAUAUAUAUACACACACACACACACACAUAUACAUAUAUGUGUGUGUGUGUGUGUGUGUGUGUAUGUGUGUGUGU